rnacentral:rRNA from 1 species
UACGUAGGGCGCAAGCGUUGUCCGGAUUCACUGGGUGUAAAGGGUGCGCAGGCGGACUGGCAAGUCAGGGGUGAAAUCUCACAGCUCAACUGUGAAACUGCCUUUGAUACUGCUGGUCUUGAGUCAGGGAGAGGUUGAUGGAAUUCCAGGUGUAGCGGUGAAAUGCGUAGAUAUCGGGAGGAACACCAGUGGCGAAGGCGACUACCUGGCCUGUUCUUGACGCUGAGGCGCGAAAGCUAGGGGAGCAAACGGG